rnacentral:rRNA from 1 species
AUUGAACGCUGGCGGCAUGCCUUACACAUGCAAGUCGAACGGCAGCACGGGGCAACCUGGUGGCGAGUGGCGAACGGGUGAGUAAUGCAUCGGAACGUACCUUUCAGUGGGGGAUAACGUAGCGACAGUUACGCUAAUACCGCAUAUUCUGUGAGCAGGAAAGCAGGGGAUCGCAGGACCUUGUGCUGAUUGAGCGGCCGAUGUCAGAUUAGCUAGUCGGUUAGGUAAGGGCGCACCAAGGCGACGAUCUGUAGCGGGUCUGAGAGGAUGAUCCGCCACACUGGAACUGAGACACGGUCCAGACUCCUACGGGAGGCAGCAGUGGGGAAUUUUGGACAAUGGGGGCAACCCUGAUCCAGCCAUGCCGCGUGAGUGAAGAAGGCCUUCGGGUUGUAAAGCUCUUUCGGCCGGGAAGAAAUCGCACGGGCUAAUACCCUGUGUGGAUGACGGUACCGGAAUAAGAAGCACCGGCUAACUACGUGCCAGCAGCCGCGGUAAGAC